GACGAACGCUGGCGGCGUGCCUAAUACAUGCAAGUCGAACGCAGUGGGGACGGGGUAGUAACCCGUUGGUAACCUCCCCAUCAGAGGGGAUAACACUUGGAAACAGGUGCUAAACCGAUACUGAUGGAUGGACCCGCGGUGCAUUAGCUAGUUGGCGAGGCAACGGCUCACCAAGGCCACGAUGCAUAGCCGACCUGAGAGGGUGAUCGGCCACACUGGAACUGAGACACGGCCCAGACUCCUACGGGAGGCAGCAGUAGGGAAUCUUCGGCAAUGGACGAAAGUCUGACGGAGCAACGCCGCGUGAGUGAAGAAGGUUUUCGGAUCGUAAAACUCUGUUGUUAGAGAAGCGGUAUCUAACCAGAAAGCCACGGCUAACUACGUGCCAGCAGCCGCGGUAAUUC
rnacentral:rRNA from 1 species